ACUCCUACGGGAGGCAGCAGUGGGGAAUAUUUGGACAAUGGGCGAAAGCCUGAUCCAGCCAUGCCGCGUGUGUGAAGAAGGUCUUCGGAUUGUAAAGCACUUUAAGUUGGGAGGAAGGGCAGUAAGCAUAAUACCUUGCUGUUUUUGACGUUACCGACAGAAUAAGCACCGGCUAACUUCUGCCAGCAGCCGCGGUAAUACGAAGGGUGCAAGCGUUAAUCGGAAUUACUGGGCGUAAAGCGCGCGUAGGUGGUUCGUUAAGUUGGAUGUGAAAGCCCC
rnacentral:rRNA from 1 species